GGGUGCUGCUCCGUUUGUGAGCCAGCGUCUGGGGAGAAGAGGCCAUUUCUGGAGGCAUCUGGGGCAAAUGACACGAGUCAGCAUUUACUUUCUUGCAUUACGAAGUGGAAGACUAAUAACCGAAGCUUUAAGAACUGGGCAAAUACAAAAACACAAAGUGAUGGUGAAACUGAGGCCCUGGGAGAGCUUAAGUGACUUAAAUCCCCUCGGUGAUCAUCAUAGGAUGGAGUGCUUCCGUCUGCAGGGAGUCAUCGUCGCUGCCCUCUGGGGGCUUGGGGAGUUGGGGGGCGGGGAAGGCCAGACAGGGCACACUGCCCUCAUUGUGAUUCUUACAUUUUUCUUAUUUCUAGAAGCUAUUUAAUGCACAUGGCACAAAACUUCAGAAGGUACAACUGGUAUAUGAGAGAGAAAGACCCAGCUGAGAACCAGAAGACAGAGGGGACCAACAGUAUCCAGAGGGAGAGCAUGAGGGAUCUUAGAGCCCAGACCAGGGAUUGAAUCCAUGUCCCCUGCAGUGGAAGCACAGAGUCUUCACCGUUGGAUUGCUGGGAAGUCCCCAUAUAGUCCCCAGUUUUAUUUCUUUUAUAAACCACAGAAUUUAUGUACUUUGCCUGUUUUUCUAUUUUAUCUAAUAUGAAAUGUUUACCUUUUGCUCUGUCACACAUGCUGCGAAUGUUUUUAUUCCAACUUAUUACUUUCCUCUUAAUUUUGUGUUCAUAUUUUUCAUACAUAGGCUUUAGAUAAAGUCUU